CUACGGGAGGCUGCAGUCGCGGAACAUUUACAAUGCACGAAAGUGUGAUAAUGCGAACCAAAGUGCUAUUCUUUUUGAAUAGCUUUUUCUCAACGUAAAAACUUGGGAGAAUAAGGACUGGGAAAGACUGGUGCCAGCCGCCGCGGUAAUACCAGCAGUUCAAGUUGCAUCCAGUUUUAUUGGGUCUAAAACAUCCGUAGCUUGCCGUUUAAGUCUCUUGUGAAAUCCUACGUCUCAAGCGUGGUGAAGUGCAGGAGGUACUGAGCGGCUAGAGAUCGGUAGACGUAAGCAGUACGGGACGGGUAACGGUCAAAUGUGUUAAUCCGUCUUGGACUAACAAUCAGCGAAGGCAGCUUACGAGGACGAAUCUGACAGUGAGGGAUGAAGGCCAGGGGCGCAAAACGGAUUAGAUACCCGUGUAGUC
rnacentral:rRNA from 1 species